rnacentral:rRNA from 1 species
AGUGAACGCUGGCGGUAGGCUUAACACAUGCAAGUCGAACGGCAGCACAGUAAGAGCUUGCUCUUACGGGUGGCGAGUGGCGGACGGGUGAGGAAUACAUCGGAAUCUACUUUUUCGUGGGGGAUAACGUAGGGAAACUUACGCUAAUACCGCAUACGACCUACGGUUGAAAGCAGGGGAUCUUCGGACCUUGCGCGAUUGAAUGAGCCGAUGUCGGAUUAGCUAGUUGGCGGGGUAAAGGCCCACCAAGGCGACGAUCCGUAGCUGGUCUGAGAGGAUGAUCUGCCACUCUGGAACUUGGCCUCGGUCCAGCGUCCGACGGGAGGCAGCAGUGGGGAAUAUUGGACAAUGGGCGCCAGCCUGCUCCAGCCAUACCGCGUGUGUGAUGAAGGCCUUCGGGUUGUAAAGCCCUUUUGUUGGGAAAGAAAAGCAGCAGGUUAAUACCCCGCUGUUCUGACGGUACCCAAAGAAUAAGCACCGGCUAACUUCGUG